rnacentral:rRNA from 1 species
CCCAAGAGAUCGGGAUAACACCUGGAAACAGAUGCUAAUACCGGAUAACAACAGAUGAUGCCUAUCAACUGUUUAAAAGAUGGUUCUGCUAUCACUCUUGGAUGGACCUGCGGUGCAUUAGCUAGUUGGUAGGGUAACGGCCUACCAAGGCGAUGAUGCAUAGCCGAGCUGAGAGACUGAUCGGCCACAUUGGGACUGAGACACGGCCCAAACUCCUACGGGAGGCAGCAGCC